rnacentral:rRNA from 1 species
UGGGGAAUAUUGCACAAUGGGCGCAAGCCUGAUGCAGCAACGCCGCGUGAACGAUGAAGGUCUUCGGAUCGUAAAGUUCUGUUGCAGGGGAAGAUAAUGACGGUACCCUGUGAGGAAGCCCCGGCUAACUACGUGCCAGCAGCCGCGGUAAUACGUAGGGGGCUAGCGUUAUCCGGAUUUACUGGGCGUAAAGGGUGCGUAGGUGGUCUUUCAAGUCGGUGGUUAAAGGCUACGGCUCAACCGUAGUUAGCCUCCGAAACUGGAAGACUUGAGUGCAGGAGAGAAAAGUGGAAUUCCCAGUGUAGCGGUGAAAUGCGUAGAUAUUGGGAGGAACACCAGUAGCGAAGGCGGCUCACUGGACCAUUACUGACGCUGAGGUGCGAAAGCGUGGGGAGCAAACAGG